AGCAGCCGCCACGGGAAUACGUAGGUGGCAAGCGUUGUCCGGAAUUAUUGGGCAUAAAGGGCUCGCAGGCGGUUUCUUAAGUCUGAUGUGAAAGCCCCCGGCUCAACCGGGGAGGGUCAUUGGAAACUGGGGAACUUGAGUGCAGAAGAGGAGAGUGGAAUUCCACGUGUAGCGGUGAAAUGCGUAGAGAUGUGGAGGAACACCAGUGGCGAAGGCGACUCUCUGGUCUGUAACUGACGCUGAGAAGCGAAAGCGUGGGGAGCGAACAGGAUUAGAUACCCCGGUAGUCCCUGUCUCUUAUAA
rnacentral:rRNA from 1 species